AUUGAACGCUGGCGGCAUGCCUAACACAUGCAAGUCGAGCGAGCGGCGGACGGGUGAGUAAUGUCUGGGAACCUGCCUGAUGGCGGGGGAUAACUACUGGAAACGGUAGCUAAUACCGCAUACCAUCAGCUGUGCCCAUAUGGGAUUAGCUAGUAGGUGGGGUAACGGCUCCCCUAGGCGACGAUCCCUAGCUGGUCUGAGAGGAUGACCAGCCACAUUGGAACUGAGACACGGCCCAGACUCCUACGGGAGGCAGCAGUGGGGAAUAUUGCACAAUGGGCGCAAGCCUGAUGCAGCCAUGCCGCGUGUAUGAAGAAGGCCUUCGGGUUGUAAAGUACUUUCAGCGGGGAGGCGGUACCCGCAGAAUAAGCACCGGCUAACUCCGUGCCAGCAGCCGCGGUAAUAC
rnacentral:rRNA from 1 species